rnacentral:rRNA from 1 species
CCCCUAGAUGUUCUGGGCCGCACGCGCGCUACACUGAACAGUUCAACAAGUCUUAACCUUGGCCGAUAGGUCUGGGCAAUCUUUGAACGCUGUUCGUGAUUGGGAUAGACCUUUGCAAUUAUGGGUCUUCAACGAGGAAUUCCUAGUAAACGCAAGUCAUCAGCUUGCAUUGAUUACGUCCCUGCCCUUUGUACACACCGCCCGUCGCACCUACCGAUUGAAUGGUCCGGUGAAGCGUUCGGACCGUGGCCUUUGGACGGUUCGCCGUCUGUUGGCUGCGGGAAGUUCGUUAAACCUUAUCAUUUAGAGGAAGGAGAAGUCGUAACA